UUUUGAAAGGGAAACGAUUGAAGUCAGUCGUACCUAUGGGUAAUCAGCCUUUUGGGUGUGAUUUUGUGGAGCGUGAAGAGUUAAACGCCUUCAUGCCUGCAUAUUCGUGCACUUUGGGUGUACUUGCCCGUGUGUAAGUUAACAUCAAUUUUGGUGGUCAUAAAAUGGCUGGAGGAAUGUAGCUUCGAUCUUGUAUUGAAGUGUUUAUAGCCUUCGGUAGAUGUGACGAUCGGGAUUGAGGAUUGCAACGGAUACCCUUCGGGGCUACCUGUCUGAUCUCUGAUUGUUGCUCUGGUGCCGAAAGCUUGCUUACGGUUAUCAAAGUCGAUGGUCAAUAGGUUAGAACGGGUUAAAUUCGUUAAG
rnacentral:rRNA from 1 species